UGGUGGAGCCGCCGGACCAAGCGGUUAGUAGGUGAGUGAUGGGGUGACGCAGGAAGGUAGUCCAUCCCGGGCGAUGGUAGUCCCGGGGUAAGGGUGUAGGCCGUGCGGUAGGUAAAUCCGUCGCACAUGGGGCUGAGACCUGAUGCCGAGCCGAUUGUGGUGAAGUGGAUGAUCCUAUGCUGUCGAGAAAAGCCUCUAGCGAGUUUCAUGGCGGCCCGUACCCUAAACCGACUCAGGUGGUCAGGUAGAGAAUACC
rnacentral:rRNA from 1 species